rnacentral:rRNA from 1 species
AUUGAACGCUGGCGGCAGGCUUAACACAUGCAAGUCGAACGAGUGGCGGACGGGUGAUUAAUGCUUGGGAAUCUAUCUUAUGGAGGGGGAUAACUACGGGAAACUGUAGCUAAUACCGCGUACCAUAGGCUGAGCCCAAGUGGGAUUCGGUAGUUGGUGAGGUAAAGGCUCACCAAGCCGACGAGCUCUAGCUGGUCUGAGAGGAUGACCAGCAACACUGGGAAUGAGACACGGCCCAGACUCCGACGGGAGGCAGCAGUGGGGAAUAUUGCGCACUGGGGGCAACCUGACGCAGCCAGGCCGCGUGAAUGAAGAAGGCCUUCGGGUGGUAAAGUUCUUUCGGUAGCGAGGCGUUAACUACAGAAGAAGCACCGGCUAACUCCGUGCCAGCCGCCGCGGUAAUAC